UACGUAGGGGGCAAGCGUUAUCCGGAAUCACUGGGUGUAAAGGGUGCGUAGGCGGUAGGGCAAGUCAGAUGUGAAAGCCCGUGGCUCAACCACGGGACUGCAUUUGAAACUGCUUUACUAGAGUGCAGGAGAGGAAAGCGGAAUUCCUAGUGUAGCGGUGAAAUGCGUAGAUAUUAGGAAGAACACCAGUGGCGAAGGCGGCUUUCUGGACUGUAACUGACGCUGAGGCACGAAAGCGUGGGGAG
rnacentral:rRNA from 1 species